AUUGAACGCUGGCGGCAUGCUUUACACAUGCAAGUCGAACGGUAACAGGCCGCAAGGUGCUGACGAGUGGCGGACGGGUGAGUAAUGCAUCGGAACGUGCCCAGUCGUGGGGGAUAACUACUCGAAAGAGGAGCUAAUACCGCAUACGAUCUAUGGAUGAAAGCGGGGGACCGUAAGGCCUCGAGCGAGUGUAGCGGCCGAUGUCAGAUUAGGUAGUUGGUGGGGUAAAGGCUCACCAAGCCAACGAUUUGUAGCUGGUCUGAGAGGACGACCAGCCACACUGGGACUGAGACACGGCCCAGACUCCUACGGGAGGCAGCAGUGGGGAAUUUUGGACAAUGGGCGCAAGCCUGAUCCAGCAAUGCCGCGUGCAGGAAGAAGGCCUUCGGGUUGUAAACUGCUUUUGUACGGAACGAAACGGCUCUGGUCAAUACCCGGGGCUAAUGACGGUACCGUAAGAAUAAGCACCGGCUAACUACGUG
rnacentral:rRNA from 1 species